GUUAAAAAGCUCGUAGUUGGAUCUCGGCAAACGGGGGCGGUUCGUUAUUUGACGGUACUGCCCCAUUUGUUCGUAUUUUUGCAAGAGGGUUGGGGGUCCCCUUUGUUGGGUGUCUCCGGUCGCUUGCAGGUUUACUUUGAAAAAAUUAGAGUGCUCAAAGCAGGCUUACACGCUUGAAUAUUCGUGCAUGGAAUAAUAGAAUAGGAAGUCGUUUCUAUUUUGUUGGUUUUCGGAAAAUGACUUAAUGAUUAAUAGGGACAAUCGGGGGCAUUAGUAUUCAAACGACAGAGGUGAAAUUCUUGGACCGUUUGAAGACUAACUACUGCGAAAGCAUUUGCCAAGAGUGUUUUCAUUAAUCAAGAACGAAAGUUAGAGGUUCGAAGGCGAUCAGAUACCGCCCUAGUUCUACCAUAACGAUGCCGCU
rnacentral:rRNA from 1 species